rnacentral:rRNA from 1 species
GAUGAACGCUGGCGGCGUGCCUAAUACAUGCAAGUCGAGCGAACGGACGAGAAGCUUGCUUCUCUGAUGUUAGCGGCGGACGGGUGAGUAACACGUGGAUAACCUACCUAUAAGACUGGGAUAACUUCGGGAAACCGUAGCUAAUACCGGAUAAUAUUUUGAACCGCAUGGUUCAAAAGUGAAAGACGGUCUUGCUGUCACUUAUAGAUGGAUCCGCGCUGCAUUAGCUAGUUGGUACGGUAACGGCCUACCAAGGCAACGAUGCAUAGCCGACCUGAGAGGGUGAUCGGCCACACUGGAACUGAGACACGGUCCAGACGCCUGCGGGAGGCAGCAGUAGGGAAUGUUCCGCAAUGGGCGAAAGCCUGACGCAGCAACGCCGCGUGAGUGAUGAAGGUCUUCGGAUCGUAAUACUCUGUUAUGAGUUAAGAACAUAUGUGUAAGUAACCGUGCAGAGCGUGACGGUACCGAAUCAGAAAGCCACGGCUAACUACGUG